rnacentral:lncRNA from 1 species
CGGAAGAAAAUUUCACAAGUUUCUAAACCCAAACAAACUACAGCGAACCAGUUGAAGAAGUAUUAUCUAGAUACAAAAAAUUGAAGUAUUCAGAAAAGAUCUGAAAUAAUGUUGCAAAAAAUAAGAACCAUGUAAUCACCUAGCAUAACUAGUUCAACAUAAACCUAUUAACAAUCUGCAAAAGGUUUCUAGAUAAUGAUUUCAACAUGAAGUACCUUGAAAAGAUCAUAACCAUCAGAGCUACCGACUCCUAUGGCACCAGACGGAGGUGGUCCCCUGAUGACCAAAUCCUGGGUGUGGCCAACUGGAGCAGGUUCACCUAAAGCUUUUGCGUCUUGCAGACAUCUCGCUCUAAGUCUAGACACAAUCUAUGCCCAUGCAUCUUUAGACCUAUAAGACUUGAAGAUACCAGAGCACAAAAUAUUUAAGAGGAAACAAAACUAGUUUGUAGCAAACUUAGCAGAAAAAAACUGGUUGUAGCAUGAGCUACAGAUAUAGAAAAUAGCAUUGCAAAGGAGACAAAUGUUAAUGCUUAAGCUAAAUUUUAAGUUAGCCUGGUAAAAAUUGAUCGAUUUCUCAAUAAAAAAGCUUAAAUUAUAGAUAAACUUCAUUUGAGCAGUAAUAGGUUUACGUUUAACUAAAACAAUUCCCAAGUUUGUGCUUCUCGGGGAAAAUAAACAGGCUAAUAAUUAAUACCUACAUGAAAAUAAUCGAAACUGGAAUUCAGUCAAAGAGAGAGGAUGAGAAGCUAAAACCAACGGACUGGAUGUCGCUCGCCGGAACUCUCAUCUGGAAGGAGAGCGAGGGAAGACGGACACGGUCUCGCUCGGUUUUCCUACUUCUUUCAUAUGGAUGGGCUGACAAUUUUCCAUAGUGGGCCGAUAUUGUACGUCUUAUUGGGCUACAUCAUUGGAAAUCCGUUAUUUUAUAGUAUAAAAUAACGGAUAUUACAAUUUCCCAAUUUCUCACACCAGUUCUCAUGAUCAACACCACUUAUAGAUAACAGGUAACAAUUUUUUUUCUUCUUAAAACUCAGAUUGAAGGGCCAAAACAAAUUAUAUAAAAAUUAAUUGUAUAAAAAAAUAUUGUUUAUAAAUUAUUUGUAUUUGUCGGGUGCAACGGACUAUAAAUGUAAAAAUUUAGUAUCAUUCUUAAAUACUGUUUUAACCGGUAAAUAUAGUUUUAUCAAGACAAAUUAUAGUGUAUAUUAGUUUUUCUGACACAUAUUAUGCGUGUAAUUUAAAAUAUAUAUAUUUAAUUUAGAUACGUAGCAAUACUCUCUUCUCUUUCACCAAGCCAAGCCAUGAGGGUAGCUACUAGCUAGCUAGGUUAGAAGGAGUUGAUCAACAUUAAACCAAAGCAAUAAUGGUACUAGUUAGUAGUGGUCCAAUAGUCAUGAGUAUAUAUGGAGGAGGAUUGAGGACCACGUCCGAAUAGAAGCGGCCACGGAUUCUGAUCAUAUCUAAAGGGGACGACAAUAGUACAAUUUAAUAAUUAAGAAACCAUGAUGAUCCUUCCUUAAGAUAUUUGUCCUUAUUCCUUGCGUACGUACGUAACCCCACCAUUUCUAGCUAGCUACCUCUUAAUCAACCUCUCCCCAUAUAUAUUCUCACAGAAAUUAAUGAUUUUGCAAGGCUCGCUACCUUUUGUUUUUUUGUGCUAAAUAACUAACUACCUUUUGUUUAAGAAUUGAAUGUACCAUACAUACAUAUAUAUAUAUAGAGAGAGAGAGAGAGCUAGAAAGAGAGAUCUAGGGAUCAGCUGAGAGAGAGCAAAUAGCAUAUAUAGACGAUGAUCAGUACUCCAAAGAUCUAGCUUAACUUCUUCUGCGGCAAUAGCAUAACAUAACAUAGCAUAAUAAAAAUCUAGGAUUUUGGAGGACAAUUGCAGUACUUGACUAGCUAUACUCUAUUAUAUAUGUUGGCACAAACUUACAUGCAUGUGAUCGAUCCACGUCACAGACAAUAUAUAAUGAUGAGUACCCAGCUGCUUAAUUACUUAUUUUUGCGAAUUUAAAUUAUUUUCUCUCCCAUUCUAUUCCUUUUCAUUUUGCAUCUGCCUGGCAAUGAGAAACGGAUUAAUUCCAUGAAGCACUGACCAUCCGUCAGUGCAUCAUUCGAAGCUAGAUGACACGUACGUACGUCUCCUUACAUGUAAACGAAGGGAUGGGAUUAAAAAUUAUGAUACUACUUCAUUUGGAAAGGUUGCUCACUUUAUACCCUAUUAUUUUCUGGCAUGAUUAAGAGAGGAUGUUUUCCUAUUACCAACUAAUUUCUAAAAAAAAUUCCCUUGAUUUAGGCGGCCAAAAUCCCCCCAAUUCAUCUUUAACCAAAAACCCAAACUUCAAACCCUAAUUAAUUCAUUUUCCUCUACAGCACUUUUUUGUUCUCUUUGUAGUCAUGGCGACGAGCCUGUCAUGGCACCCAUUAUAACCCUCAAACUCUCAAAGACUCCGCCACACAAACAAUCACCAUGGAUGGUAAGUGCAUCAUAAACUUCAUGGAAUCCGGAUCCAUGGCAAUGCAUGCAUAGAGGACUGGAUAACUUAUUUAUAAUCGAUUUGCAUUGAAUUUAUUUAUAAAGGGAUUAUACAUAUGUACAAGGCAGUUCAUAAAAACCUAAUUAAAUAAAUGCUACUAAUUCAUGAUUUUGCACCUCUAUCUCCUUCAAGAUGAGUUUCUUUAAAGUUAGUUGGACAAAAAGUAUAUUAGAAAUGCAUGGUGGCUAACCAUCUUCACGCAUAAUUCAUCAUAUAUAUGCGGAAUACGUACGUAGAUGUGAACCUUAAAUUAGCAGGUUUAAGAUCGAUCGAUCGAUCGAUCUAAGUACUACUCGAGCAAAGUUAUUCUUUAAUUUCCUCCCUUUCAAAAUAUAUAUAGCAUCAAAAUAACGUUUUCCUUCUUGCAUACGUACGAGGAAAAGAUAAAAAUACAAUUAAUUGUAGUAAUAAAUUAAUAGAUGAUGAUGAUAUAUCAUCCACCAGUUGAGCAUCAUCAAUCCGAAACAAAAAGAUACAUACAGUGUGAAUUAAGCACAAAAUACCCUCGGUUUCCCGCCCCCCACUAACUAACAAUGACAAAUUAAAACUAUAGCAUGGCUUAAAAAAGUAGGUAGUCAAUAUUAACCAACGAAACCGAUCGAGGGUAUUUUGUUAAUUUCAUUUAACAACGAAAACCAUCCAUAAAGAGUUAGAAAAAAAAUGAAGAGGAGGUUAAUAAAUUAUACUAAAUUACUAGUUAUGAAGAGGAUCUGAACCAGUGGGUACUCUUCGUUUGGAGUCGUCUUCAAAGCCUCUAUGAAACUUGUUUACUGAUGAUCUCUUCAUGUUGUUGUUUUUGUAAUUUCCGUUAGCUUUUGUCGUCCACUUGAUCUGCUCAAGUAUCCGAAUUGCUUCCACCUUGCUGUUAUUGCUAGUGCACACCCAAACUGGAAACACUGAAAUAAUUAGGGUGAUCAUAACUAUUAAAGAGGCAGCUGGCAACAUAACUGAUCUCCUGCCGCAGGCAAUAGCUAGCAAUUUUUUUCUUGGAGCUAGAAAAAAGACUACGUACCUAAAUAUAUAUAUCUACAUUAAUUAAUCCUCAACAAUAUUUGGGUUGUGUUCGUUAUAAAUUGCAGAGGCCGGAGCUCCCGUAUAUACGUACGUGGAGUUCAUACUUUAUAAUGAUGAGUACUGAUGAGUGAUGAGGGAGGGGUAAGAUCCAUAAGAAACCCCAUGUGAUAGCUGCUGACAGGCUCAGAUUGCUUAACUACUGUAGGACGACUAGCUAGCUACCAUAAUAUUUGGCCUACUUGCUAUGUACAUACAUA